UGAGCUGACAAUUACUGAAACCAAAUACAGCUGUAGAACCGGAGCAUUUGUAAACACGGUGUGGUGUAGUGUCACAGCGAGUGUUGAGGGAAUACUUACAUUUCGAGACACGCAUAACAUGCCGACCUCCCCGGUGAAGACACGGAUACCGCUGUCAAGUUUUGGCCAUCUUGUAACCGAAGUAAAGAGACAGCUCUUUGGGAUUGAUUCGCCAACCCUGAAGGAACUGACAGGAUGGAGGAAACAUUUUAACAGCUACACCUUACAAGGACGCAGAAAUUUUGUUCUUGCCACAUAUGGCGUUCUUGCACUCACAGCUGCUGCCUUCAUGCUGAGACGCAGCAGGAAGAAGGAGCAUGAAACAGCAUCUGCCUCCUCAUAAACUGCAAAUGGAAAGUUUUGAGGGUUAAGAAUACAGUAAAUUAUUUAUGAUCGCUACAUGUGUGGACCAUGUUUAAUGAAGCUUAUGUUUCUACAUAUGCACCAGAUGUGCAUUUCUUUAUCAUGCACACUUUUUUAAUUUAAAAAUGGAUUGGUUGCGCUUUAGUUUUGUGGCCCCAUUUUGACAUCCUGUUGACUAUUUAUAUAUAUAAAUUUGGUAUCACUUUAUUUUGAUGGUCACUUUAACACAUUUUGUUGAAUUUAAGUUACAUUGCAUCUACAUUCCAACUAAUUCUUAUUUGCUUAUAAGUAAGCUGUUAGGUUGGGGUUAGUGUAAGUUGACAUGUACUUGCAAAGUUUCUUAUAGUCAGUAUCAGCAGAUAUUAAGCAGGCAGUCUACAAAUACUCAAAUGAUAAGUAAUUGGCGUGUAGUUGCAAUGCAAAUUUUAGUCAAAAAAUGUGCGAUAGGGACAUUCAUACAAUUUAAUUAGUAUGAAAACUAAUGAAUUUUUUAAAGGGAUGUGUCCUCAAACUCCACCCCUUAUCCUACACCUCAUUGAAGGAUAAGCAAAUCAUACUAAAAUGUACCAAUGAGAUUGUACAAAUUCACUGUAUUGUAACUUACCUGUAAAUGUGUUUUACAGUGGCGUUGCUCUACCGCAAUUACAUUUUACAGUAAAAUAGCCUAACUGCAACUUAUUUUUAUGGUAAAAUGCCAUUUUAAUGCAUUUUUUUGCAAUAAAAUUAGAAAUUUAAAUUUUUUUUUUAGAGUAUUUUACUGUUAUUUUUUAUUUUUUUACUCUAGCAGUACAAACCAAGUGGCCAGUUUUGUCUUAAACUACAGUAGCAGUACUUGAUUAUUUUGAUUACAGUAGAAUACCCCAAAUUCCUAAUAUGCAGUAAGUUACUGUAAAAGUUUAAAAUGACCCACAAUGCAAUGCAUAUUACAGUGCUGAACUGUACUGAACUGAACUGGCUGUUUUUGCAGUAAAUAUCUGUAAAAUUGCGACAAAGUUGGCCAAUAAAAGAUUCUGUUGGUAUGAAAACCUUGGAUAAAAAUAUCACGGUAUGACGGUAUUGUGAUUACUUCUCUCAAAUAUGUUCUUCAGGGUUCUGGGUGUUGAACACAAGAUAUUAUAUUGUAAAAAACAUUUAAAAUAAUUUGGAGUAGUAAACAUGUCAGGCUAAAUAAUUAAAUCAUUGACCUUGAAAAGGCAUCUUUGGAUAUCUUUCUUUUCUUUGGAUAUAAAGUAAGUAAGCCGCUGCACCGUUCACGUGCAUUGCACACAGGAUGCACAUAGCAGCAUAGGAUGUUGGUUUAUAAGCGAUUUGUUUCUCAAAUGUUUGCUGAAUCAUGUGCUGACCAGUAUCUUUUAUAUGUGAAGGGUCCUUUUCUACGGGAGAUACCGUUGCCUUAAAAAACUAAAUAAAGCAUUUGUUAAAAACAUGUAAAAACAAAACAAAAAAUGAUUACCUACACCUUAGAAACAGUAUAACAGAUUUUUUUUUUGCGGUUUUAAAACCUUGGCUUUUCCAAACCAUGGUAAACUUUGAAAACGGUUAUCGUCCCAUGCCUAUUGUUAAUAUGAAUUAGAAAGAGUUACAAGCGGCUGUGAGAUUGCAUUGGUUAUAACUUGUUUUGGUUUUGUUUUAAAACAGGGCACUUUAUGUAUGACAUUAUAUUCUGCAGAAUGUGCAAACAUUUUCAAAUAUAAAUUUGUGUAAUCAGAAGUUCACCAGACAUGUUUCCUUAUUGUUUACUUCCGACAUGCAAAUUUGCGAGCAUGUCAUAACUCUUUAGAGUUUUAAGGUUGGGGUUAAAGUGUGGUCACGUUUACGGUUGGUCUGUGCAAUUAUGAGAGUGAAAUCCUGACAUUUCAACACACACUUGUGUGAUCUGGAGUUUCACAUGAGGGUCAAAAGUUCAAUACAGAAAUUUCACAUGUGCUCAAUCUGUCAACUAACUCUCAUUAGAGUAUUAGUGGAGGAUUAGUUGACAUUAAAAGUUAGGAUUAAAUGGAUAUUGCUCACCAUUACUCACUUUUUACUCACCAUCAAGUGGUUUCAAACCUUUAUAAAAUUCUUUUUUUCUAUUGAACACAAAAGAGUUAAAGAUUGUUGGUAAAUAUUAGCCAUUCAUUUGGAAGUCAUUAUAACAUUUUGUGUUUGACAGAAGAAAGAAACUCAAAUAGAUUUGGAACAAGUGAAGGGUAAGUAAAAUAUAACAGUUUAAAAAAUUUUUGGUGAACCAUUCCUUUAAGGGAGUGUUUCUCGACCACGUUCCUGGAGGACCACCAGCUCUGCACAUUUUCCAUGUCGCCUUAACCAAAAACACCUGAUUCGGAUCAUCAGCUCAUUAGCAGAGACUGAAAGACCUGUAAUGGGUGUGACAGACGCAUAAAACAUAGUGUUAGUGUUCCUCAGGAACGUGGUUGAGAAAUACUGCUUCAAGGGAUAGUUGUAAUUACUGCUCUGUGCAAUUUUACAAUUUAAAUAGUUAAUUCACAAAUUCACCUUAUAUUUUGCCUGAAUUGAAGUUGGUUGUACAAAUAAGUUGAUUUAUAAGAGCUGCUCUUUGUAAAUUUGACUUAUUUGAAAAAUGGGCCUUUUUGCUUGUGAAAUGUCACUAAAAUUCACUAAUGUACUUGCAAACCACUUAUAGUCAGCAGAGAGUGUCUGCUGUGGGACUAUAUUGAUAAAACUUUUUUAAAUAUUAAGUAGAAAAUCCAUUAAUUCUCUCAUGACUGCUACUUUACUUGUGAUUGCAGAUUUUACAUAAUAGAAACUCUAAAGGUGACCUUCAGAAUGCACUGUUACCAAAUGAAACAAGCUGUGAUGAAAGAGUAGUAGCAACAGCUGAGCAAGAAAUACGCACUGGUUUUGAUUGGAUGUUGUGAUAUGGGUGUGAACCAACACAGACUGUGAACAUACACUGUAAAGACUGAUGGGUUCCUCACAAUUUCUUCAUGUAGUCCCAACACAAAUUAAGUUAACUUAAUUUUUUUAAACAAAUUUAAGUGGAUUGAACAUAAAACAAUUAAGUUGUCCCACCAAAAGACUCAAGAAUUGUGUUGAUUCAUUUCAUUUUAAAUAAGUAGUUUUAAAAUUUGUAGUCUUUCAAUGCUAGAUCCAGUUUUGACUUUCUGUUUAACUUUCAUGAAAUUACCUUUCUAAAGGGGACCAUCAAAAUAAAGUGGAACCAAAAGUCAGGAUGAAACAGUAGUAGAAAAAUAUUGCAGUAAACUUCACAUUAUUGUUGAUUAUGCGGUUAAGAUAUUAAAUUCACCUUUAUUUGUAUAGUGCUAUUACAAUGUAGAUUGUGUCAAAGCAGCUUCACAUAGAAAAAUGAAGAUAUGGUUGUGGAUGAAUAGAAUGACAAAAAAAAGUGUUGCAUGCAGAACUGUUGCAAACUAUUUAUUUGUGUUGAAUUUAAACAAAAGAAUUAAAUUUAAUAAUGUUCAACUUAAUUUGUUUGUUUAAAUUCAGCCCAAACAAAUUGUUUACAACCACUUAAAGUGAAAAAAAUUUGUAAAUCCAAGGAAUCGUCUUUGAAUAUUUUUUUUUGGUGUGUGUGUAGAAGGUCCAGUUUUGUCAUUCUGUUUAAUAUUAUGAAAUCACCAUCAAAAUAAAGUGUAACCAAAAGUCAUGAUGAAACAGUAGCUAAAGAUUGUAGUAAACUGCACAAUAUUGUUGAUUGAUGAAAUAUGGUUGUGGAUGAACAGAAUUACACUCUCAGAAAUAAAGGUAUGCGAGCUGUCAAUGGGGUGGUACCUUUUUAUAAGGUACACAUUUUUACCUAAAGGGUCGAUAUUGGUACCUCAAAAGUAUAAAUUAGUACCUAAAACAUUUAAGAGGAACACUUUUGUAGUUUUUAGGUACCCUUGAAGUAUUAAUAUGGACCUUUAAGGUACAAACUUGUACCUUUGGAAACGGUACUACCCCAGUGACAGCUCGUGUACCUUUAUUUCUGAGAGUGCACCAACUAGAAGGUCCAGUUUUGACAUUCUGCUUAAAUGUCAUUAAAUCACUAUCAAAAUAAAGUGGAACCAAAUCCUGUGAUGAAACUGUAGCAAAAUGUUGGUGUUAACUGGACAUCAUUGUUGAUUGUGUUGUGAUAUGAUUGUAGAUGAACAGAAUGGCAUUCUGCUUAAAUAUCAUGAAAUCACCAUCAAAAUAAAGUGUUACCAAAAGCCGUGUAAAA